rnacentral:rRNA from 1 species
CCUACGGGGGGCAGCAGGCGCGAAACCUCCGCAAUGUGAGAAAUCGCGACGGGGGGAUCCCAAGUGCCAUUCUUAACGGGAUGGCUUUUCAUUAGUGUAAAGAGCUUUUGGAAUAAGAGCUGGGCAAGACCGGUGCCAGCCGCCGCGGUAACACCGGCAGCUCUAGUGGUAACAAUUUUUAUUGGGCCUAAAGCGUCCGUAGCCGGUUUAAUAAGUCUCUGGUGAAAUCCUGUAGCUUAACUGUGGGAAUUGCUGGAGAUACUAUUAGACUUGAGACCGGGAGAGGUUAGAGGUACUCCCAGGGUAGAGGUGAAAUUCUGUAAUCCUGGGAGGACCGCCUGUUGCGAAGGCGUCUAACUGGAACGGUUCUGACGGUGAGGGACGAAAGUUAGGGGCGCGAACCGGAUUAGAUACCCGGGUAGUCCUAACUGUAAACGAUGCGGACUUGGUGUUGGGGUGGCUYUGAGCUGCUCCAGUGCCGAAGGGAAKCUGUUAAGUCCGCCGCCUGGGARRWMSGGYSGCAARMHYKAAACUUAAAGGAAUUGGCGGGGGAGCACCACAACGCGUGGAGCCUGCGGUUUAAUUGGAUUCAACGCCGGACAUCUCACCAGAGGCGACAGCUGUAUGAUAGCCAGGUUGAUGACUUUGCUUGACUAGCUGAGAGGAGGUGCAUGGCCGCCGUCAGCUCGUACCGUGAGGCGUCCUGUYAAGUCAGGCAACGAGCGAGACCCACGCCCUUAGUUACCAGCUUAUYCUUUUUUGGAUGAUGGGCACACUAGGGGGACCGCCUAUGAUAAAUAGGAGGAAGGAGUGGACGACGGUAGGUCCGUAUGCCCCGAAUCCUCUGGGCAACACGCGGGCUACAAUGGCUGAGACAAUGGGUUCCGACACCGAAAGGUGGAGGUAAUCCUCUAAACUUAGUCGUAGUUCGGAUUGAGGACUGUAACUCGUUCUCAUGAAGCUGGAAUGCGUAGUAAUCGCGUAUCACUAUUGCGCGGUGAAUACGUCCCUGCUCCUUGCACACACCGC